UGGAGAUGGAAGAUGGCGCCAAGGGGCCGCCAUCGCUCUUCGGCUCCGCUGCAGGUCCUGCUCUUCCUCAACGGCUGGUACUGCGCCACAUAUUUUCUCCUGGAAGCGUUCGUGUUCGUGUACAAAGUGCUGCUCCUGCCCUAUCCCGUCUCCAACUUGGUGCUGGACAUAGUGCUGCUCCUCCUCUACCUCGGCAUUGAGGCCACACGCAUCUUCUUCGGCUCCAAGGGGAACCUGUGCCAGCGGAAGGUGCCGCUGUCCCUCAGCCUGGCACUUACAGUGCCGGCAGCUGUGCUGGCCGUGUACUACCUGCUGCUCCAGACAUAUUCCCUGCGCCUGGAAGCGUUCCUGAGUGCCAUCCUGCUCCUCUUCUAUGGCCUGGAGCUGCUCCUGGGCUUCCUGGCACUGCUCUCCUUCUCCAGCACGGAUCCCUACUGAGGGCACAGCCCAGGGACACAGGGAAGCAUCACCUGUACCAGCUCCACUUUCCAACCCUGGGAAGGGGGAUGAUCCCACCUUUCCCACCUGCUGCCACCUGGACAUAUCCCUCCCACGUUUGCUGCUUCUACAUGGACAUAUCUCCCAUUUUUCCUGCUUCCCACUUCACCAGAGACCUGCUGCCACAGGGAUUCGUCCCUCCCUUUUCCCACUUCCCACUUCACUCACUACUCCCUGGACACAUCCCUCCCACCUUUCCCACUCUACACUCCACUUGGACUCCUCAGAGCCUGAGCCAGCUCAAGGAAGGCAACAGGAGCACUGUAUAAAAGACUGACAACGUCAUCCGAGUU